ACCUCUGCUGGAACUUGUUCACCACGGACGAGUCCUGGCUCUGGAUGAAGCGGUCCAGGUAGUCUUGGGUGUAGCCGCUGCAAACCACACAGAGGUUACCUGUGGAGGAAAUAGAAACUUGCUCAUCACAGAUGUAGUGAGGAUUAUCUGGUGGGGCCUGGAAACAGUUUUCAAGCUCCCGCCCAGACCACAUUAAUCAGGGAUUGUGGGCGAGCUCGGAUGGCUGCGGCCCAGGACGACCGAACCGAGGGAGAAGAACUGGGCCUGAAGAUAGCUGAGGCGUCCGCACGCUGCCGGGCUUUUCAUUCCUUCACACAGAGACGGGACAGUCUCCUCUUCCUCCUCCUCCUCCUCCUCCUCCUCUAUAGAGGAGAGGUUCCAGGUAAACUUGCUUUUUGAAAGGAGCAUAACUUUGAGAGAGGUUGGCUUUGAAGAGGAUGCUGAUGAAUCCAACGUCUCCCACAUGUGGAAAUUACUCUCCAAGAAAGAGAUUUACUGCUGACUUGAGGUUAUUAAAAAUGUUAAAUCUGUUCGAGUUUAAUUUUCCACGUUUUAAUUACAUACCUCUGCUUUCUCCAUCCCGUCUGUUUGAUCAUUUUAUUGACUUGUAUUGGAAGUACGGGCAGUUAUCUUAGAGUUAACAAAAGAUUAGACAGAGGGCACGAAGACGAAACAUGAAUUAGAAGCUGCUGCCAUGACUGCGUGAUUGACAGAUGUUUUAAUAAAAGGAAUAAUACUAGACUCAACAUCCAUAUCUAACUUAUUAAUAUUGCCCAAAGGCUAAAGAUUAUUUUAAAUCAGCAACGUAAUUAAACACAGAAAUAAAACAGCCUGAUAUCUGUAAUUACAUUUAGAUGUGAAAUUUACAAAACUCUGAUACCUGCAUUUGUGGGAUUGUUGAGCACCUCGUUGUCAGGGGCAACAAGCUGUUAACACUGACAAAAAGAUCACCUCAUAAAACAAUCCGCUGAAAGCACAAUGACGCGUUGUCCAAAAUACCGAUCAGAGCAGCUUUAAGUUGGCGAACACGUCUGUGCGUUACUCGCGCGACUGCAACGGCACCGCGCGCGCACGCGGUGCGUCGCACUCGCCCUCAGACGACGACAUCCGCCCCGCGGACUGUUUACACUCGUUAGAUCGCGUGCGUAAUGAGGCCGCAUUGUCUCCGCGAAGCGCUGCUUUGAUUCUCCGAGUCUGAACAAACUGUCCUUGGCGCAGUCGAGAUAUCAACGUCACUUUACUGAGAUGAAAGAAGUGCCCCCCCCCCCCCCAAAAAACGCUCCCUCUUCUCGGUGACAGAAACAUGCUCCCGA